GAUGAACGCUGGCGGCGUACCUAAUACAUGCAAGUCGAGCGAACGGACGAGAAGCUUGCUUCUCUGAUGUUAGCGGCGGACGGGUGAGUAACACGUGGAUAACCUACCUAUAAGACUGGGAUAACUUCGGGAAACCGGAGCUAAUACCGGAUGAUAUUUUGAACCGCAUGGUUCAAAAGUGAAAGACGGUCUUGCUGUCACUUAUAGAUGGAUCCGCGCCGCAUUAGCUAGUUGGUAAGGUAACGGCUUACCAAGGCAACGAUGCAUAGCCGACCUGAGAGGGUGAUCGGCCACACUGGAACUGAGACACGGUCCAGACUCCUACGGGAGGCAGCAGUAGGGAAUCUUCCGCAAUGGGCGAAAGCCUGACGGAGCAACGCCGCGUGAGUGAUGAAGGUCUUCGGAUCGUAAAACUCUGUUAUUAGGGAAGAACAUAUGUGUAAGUAACUGUGCACAUCUUGACGGUACCUAAUCAGAAAGCCACGGCUAACUACGUGCCAGCAGCCGCGGUAAUACGUANGUGGGCAGCGUUAUCCGGAAAUAUUGGGCGUAAAGCGCGCGUAGCGGUUUUUUAGUCUGAUGUGAAAGCCCACAGCUCAACCGUGGAGGGUCAUUGGAAACUGGAAAACUUGAGUGCAGAAGAGGAAAGUGGAAUUCCAUGUGUAGCGGUGAAAUGCGCAGAGAUAUGGAGGAACACCAGUGGCGAAGGCGACUUUCUGGUCUGUAACUGACGCUGAUGUGCGAAAGCGUGGGGAUCAAACAGGAUUAGAUACCCUGGUAGUCCACGCCGUAAACGAUGAGUGCUAAGUGUUAGGGGGUUUCCGCCCCUUAGUGCUGCAGCUAACGCAUUAAGCACUCCGCCUGGGGAGUACGACCGCAAGGUUGAAACUCAAAGGAAUUGACGGGGACCCGCACAAGCGGUGGAGCAUGUGGUUUAAUUCGAAGCAACGCGAAGAACCUUACCAAAUCUUGACAUCCUUUGACAACUCUAGAGAUAGAGCCUUCCCCUUCGGGGGACAAAGUGACAGGUGGUGCAUGGUUGUCGUCAGCUCGUGUCGUGAGAUGUUGGGUUAAGUCCCGCAACGAGCGCAACCCUUAAGCUUAGUUGCCAUCAUUAAGUUGGGCACUCUAAGUUGACUGCCGGUGACAAACCGGAGGAAGGUGGGGAUGACGUCAAAUCAUCAUGCCCCUUAUGAUUUGGGCUACACACGUGCUACAAUGGACAAUACAAAGGGCAGCGAAACCGCGAGGUCAAGCAAAUCCCAUAAAGUUGUUCUCAGUUCGGAUUGUAGUCUGCAACUCGACUACAUGAAGCUGGAAUCGCUAGUAAUCGUAGAUCAGCAUGCUACGGUGAAUACGUUCCCGGGUCU
rnacentral:rRNA from 1 species